UUCAGCUCGCGUUUACGGUUCUUUGUCUUCCCUUGUCUUCUUCUUACGUACUGUGGACAAGCUGCUUAUCUUGUGAACACAAAAAGAUCAUUACAAAGACGCCUUCUAUGCAUCUAUGCCUGAUAGUGUGUACUGGCCUAUGUUUGUAGUCGCCACAGGAGCUGCCAUCGUUGGGAGCCAAGCUACAAUCUCAGGGACUUAUUCAAUAAUCAAGCAGGCAGUGUCUCAUGGAUGUUUUCCACGUGUUAAGAUUGUUCAUACUUCCAAGAAGUUCCUUGGUCAGAUCUAUUGUCCUGAAUUAACUGGAUACUUAUGGUCGGAUGCAUCGCCGUCACUGCUAGUUUCAAGAACCAGAGCCAAAUAGGAAAUGCAUACGGAACUGCUGUUGUGCUCGUGAUGCUUGCUACCACGUUACUAAUGAUCCUGAUCAUGCUCCUCGUGUGGAGGUGUCAUUGGAUCUUGUCCUAACAUUUCGCUGUCCUCACACUAGUGCCAGAGUUGUUUACUUCUCGGCUGUGAUAUGGAAAAUAAAUCAAGGAGG